rnacentral:rRNA from 1 species
UACGUAGGGUGCAAGCGUUAUCCGGAUUCACUGGGUUUAAAGGGUGCGUAGGUGGGUUGGUAAGUCAGUGGUGAAAUCUCCAGGCUUAACUUGGAAACUGCCAUUGAUACUAUCAAUCUUGAAUAUCGUGGAGGUCAGCGGAAUAUGUCAUGUAGCGGUGAAAUGCUUAGAUAUGACAUAGAACACCAAUUGCGAGGGCAGCUGGCUACACGAAUAUUGACACUGAUGCACGAAAGCGUGGGGAUCAAACAGG